rnacentral:rRNA from 1 species
AUCAUGGCUCAGGAUGAACGCUAGCGGCAGGCUUAACACAUGCAAGUCGAGGGGCAGCAUAAACAUUGCUUGCAAUGUUUGACGGCGACCGGCGCACGGGUGCGUAACGCGUAUGUAACCUACCUUUAACAGGGGGAUAACACUGAGAAAUUGGUACUAAUACCCCAUAAUACUUUAGAGGGCAUCCUCUGAGGUUGAAAGUUCCGGCGGUUAAAGAUGGACAUGCGUUGUAUUAGCUAGAUGGUGAGGUAACGGCUCACCAUGGCGACGAUACAUAGGGGGACUGAGAGGUUAACCCCCCACACUGGUACUGAGACACGGACCAGACUCCUACGGGAGGCAGCAGUGAGGAAUAUUGGUCAAUGGACGCAAGUCUGAACCAGCCAUGCCGCGUGCAGGAUGACGGCUCUAUGAGUUGUAAACUGCUUUUGUACAAGGGUAAACCCCGGUACGUGUACCGGGCUGAAAGUACUGUACGAAUAAGGAUCGGCUAACUCCGUG